UACGGAGGGUGCAAGCGUUAUCCGGAUUCACUGGGUUUAAAGGGUGCGUAGGCGGGCAGGUAAGUCAGUGGUGAAAUCUCCGGGCUUAACCCGGAAACUGCUGUUGAUACUAUCUGUCUUGAAUAUCGUGGAGGUAAGCGGAAUACGUCAUGUAGCGGUGAAAUGCUUAGAUAUGACAUAGAACACCCAUUGCGAAGGCAGCUUACUACACGAUCAUUGACGCUGAGGCACGAAAGCGUGGGGAGCAAACAGG
rnacentral:rRNA from 1 species